GUGCCAGCCGCCGCGGUAAGACGAACCGUGCAAACGUUGUUCGGAAUCACUGGGCUUAAAGGGCGCGUAGGCGGGUUCUCAAGUCGGCGGUGAAAUCGUUCGGCCCAACCGGACAAGUGCCGCCGAUACUGGGAGUCUUGAGGGAGGUAGGGGUCGAGGGAACUAAUGGUGGAGCGGUGAAAUGCGUAGAUAUCAUUAGGAACGCCGGUGGCGAAAGCGCUCGACUGGACCUUCACUGACGCUGAGGCGCGAAAGCCAGGGGAGCAAACGGGAUUAGAUACCCCGGUAGUCCUGGCCCUAAACGAUGGGUACCAGAUUGUGGACUUGACAUGGGUUCACAGUCGAGGCAAAAGUGUUAAGUACCCCGCCUGGGGAGUAUGGUCGCAAGGCUGAA
rnacentral:rRNA from 1 species